rnacentral:rRNA from 1 species
UACGUAGGGUCCGAGCGUUGUCCGGAAUUAUUGGGCGUAAAGGGCUCGUAGGCGGGUUGUCGCGUCGGGAGUGAAAACUCAGGGCUCAACCCUGAGCGUGCUUCCGAUACGGGCAGACUAGAGGUAUGCAGGGGAGAACGGAAUUCCUGGUGUAGCGGUGGAAUGCGCAGAUAUCAGGAGGAACACCGGUGGCGAAGGCGGUUCUCUGGGCAUUACCUGACGCUGAGGAGCGAAAGCAUGGGGAGCGAACAGG